UUCCACUUACUUCAGCCAAACCCCAAGCCGAGCUUAUGAUCAGUCAAGAGAGCCAUGAACCAAAGCCAGCUAACCAACAUAGACCGUUCAAAAGCUACCUUCAUUCAUUUUUUUUAAUUCCUUAUAUCUGUAAACUCUAUAUAUAGUCGUCUCCUUCUACGUGCCUAACUUACGCCCUUGGUGGGGAGAAGGAUGAACUGGGCUCCCAAGCUUCACGGCCAGAAAUCUUCUUGUUCUUGCUCUUGUCUUGCCAUGGACAUCAGAAGCUGGUGCAAUUCAGAUAGCAGAAGCAUCCGACUAGGACGAAGAUUCACAGAGAACGACUACGCUGAUUUUGAGACGUUUAGCUUGCCGGCUACCCGAUCAAACACGCCGAGGUGGAGAGUGUUGUGGAGAAGGAUAAAGAAAGAACAGAAGAAGUUCUUCUACUCUUCGGCUCGGUUCCAGGUUCCUUAUGAUCCCUACACUUAUUCGCAGAAUUUCGAUCAAGGGUCGGCGUGGACCGAGCCUGAUAACCUAUCUCGGUCCUUCUCCGCUCGUUUCGCCGAUCCUUCGAGGAUCUUUCAGAAGAAAGGGUUGGUGGGUUGAUGGGACUCGGGAGAAACGAGAAAGGAAACUUUUUUGUGUUCAUAUCUUCAGAUCUUUAUUCUGUAUGGACACCCAUUUUCAUUCAGUUGUGAUGCUUUCUCUGUCAAUACCAGUCAGUUCCAUACGUUUCUGAUCUCUUCCUUAUUUCAUGGUUAAUUAGUACUCCAUCUGGUAUAUGGACGAUUAACUCUGGUUAAUGUUUUUAUUAAUGGGUUUCAACUUUCAACCGGGGAAGUGAAGAAGCAUGUCCAAAGACUCCAUUCCAAACUGAAGAUCUGAAUCACCAGCUUGAAAGUACUUCAUUCUUCUUUUAUCUUUUACUUUAUUCGGCAGCAAGAGAAGAUGCUUGGAGGCCAGGGGCUAAUGGCCGCUCAGCCAAACUUUCUCUGUUGAUAGUGGACGGCACCACAAUCAAAAGCAGAAGGAAUCUUGCAGCAUUUGAUUUGUUUUCCUGGAUUCUGCUUACACUGUGCAGGAAGUUGGGUUUCUCUCCAGACAGAUGCCUGUUGGUAGGUUUGGGUCUGGACUCUGGAAUCAAUGGAAAGCCAAAAUACGACUAUCUACCUGCGAAAGGGAUCUGGUCUGGUGGCCCAAAAUGCACGAAUUACUUGUGCUAGAGCCAAAAACCAUACUGAUUUCAAGAGUCCUACCGUCCCAUCAAACGCCUAACUUUCACAGGGCUAAUAGAACCAUGAGUUUUCUGUCUUUCUCUGCUAAAAAAAAUACAUCAACUCAAUGACUAAUGAAUUUUCUUGAUGACCCAAUCACCCAAUUGAUCAAGUUAUCUGUAUCAGUUUCCCGAGAUAAGAGAAGUAAUUAAUAUGAGUUAUGACUUUUAGCUGUGUAUAAGCCUCAAGCCAAAACUCCCAAGCAUAUUUGAUUGCAAGGAAGCCUCAGUAGGGCCCUUCACGGAUCACUAGCUGGCCAAACUGUAUGUUACUAGUAUCUUCAUACGUAACAAAAACAGAGGUCUCUGUCACCCAACUAUUUCAUCUUUAUUUCGGCUAAAAUGUUAGCUGAAGAAUCAAAAUUCGUGCUUGAAAGUUGAAACCCAUCAAUCUAUGGCUCUUCACGCUUUAUGAUCAGAUCAGAGAAGUUCCAUCAAUCUGUUUGUUUCAGUGUCGAGAAGCGCCAAAGGCAAAGUCUUUGUCAUACAACUGUUUAUCUGUGAAGAUCAUCUUUAUAUUAUAACUCACUAUUUGUAGCCAUGAGUCACAGAAAUCCUUACAGUGAAGUUCAUGUCGAGAAGAUUAUUGCUCGACAAACCCUACUGCAACUUUAUCUUAUUCACAGUAGGACUCAUCAGAACUCAGGACUGAUCAUUAAGAUGACAAAUGGAAAGGUGAAGCACUGAAGCAUAUCUGCACACUUCAAUGGUAGGCAAUCUUCUGGACUGCCCACAACCCAAGAUUGCACGGGCUAAAAGUAUUUGGACCCUCAUCACUAGAACUAAAAUUUGGACGACUAACUGAAGAAGGAACCAUGGUUAUCACAUACAGAUUUCUCAACAUAGGUGAGUCUUUAGUGGUUUGAGAUGGUUCACCUUCAUUUGGUACCGUGUCUUCCAAAUUCCAAUCAAACGCUUUUCAGUCUCAUAUUAUUAUAUUGCUUUGUAACAGAGAUUAUUAAGUCAUGAUUAAUCAUGCUCUUUCCCAUA